CGGUCAAAUCACGCUGAAAACACCGGUUCUCGUUCGAUCACCGAAGUUAAGCAUCGUAGAGCCAGGUCAGUACUUAGAUGGGGGGACCGCUUGGGAACACCUGGUACUGUAAG
rnacentral:rRNA from 1 species